CCAACUUGCCGGCGAGCUCAUCCCUUUCAUUCCGUCGCUUAGGUAUGUAAAUAAGGCGAAGAAAUCAUUGAUUUAAACAAGUAUAAUUAUAAAAUUGUAUUUAUUUUCAAAUAGCAAAUAAGUAGCAUUUAACCCAAAAACUUGAGAGUAGUUGCCCUUUGUUUACUUAGCAUUUGACAACUCGGAUUUUGCAAAAUGAUGUUUACUGAGGAUUCCAUGCCAUUAAUAUGCAGGCUGUUGCUGAUGCCAGCAUGAGCAAUAUCUGAGCACCAAUGAUGAGGGUCAUCUGCUGGGAGAUAGUGGGUAUCCGUUAAGGACUAACCUGAUGACCCCUUAACCUCAUCCCUCCCAUGCUGCGGAACAGGCCUACAAUGACCAUCUAUGUAGAGGAUAUCUGCAUGCCACUGGUGGAUGUUGGCCUUUCAAGUCCAAUAUGUGCUGUGAAAUAUCAACUGUGUACAUGCCCCUGCAUAACCUGUGUCUGGAUUCAAACGUUCCACUGAUAGAGGAAUUGGUUGGAAAUGUGAUGGAACCGGAAGUUAUGAACAACACACCAGUACAUCGAGCAGCAUGUGAUAAGAGGCAGCAGCUGAUCAAACUGUUUCAUAAAAUGUGUUAAAAAUUUAUAGUUAUAAAUGUUAUAAAGUGAUAGAUGGCUCGAGUCUUCUCUGAAUAGGCAGAGCUACACUACUCAGCCAAAUGGCGUAAAGUUGUGUCAUAGCUGAUUUGGAAGGAUUGGUAUUCCUGGUCGUCUAGACACAAUAGUUACAACAGCUGAUGUUUGCAUGUUUUAUAAUUGUGUAUGCAUAAUUUGUCUAAUAUUUACUUCAAGGUUAUAGGUUUGUGAAAGAAAAAAAUGUCAAUGUUCUGAGGACCAAUAAAAAAAGUUAUGUGUUAGGUAUUACCAAGUGCUUGAUUUAAUAUUUAUUUUAAAGGGAACUUUUCCUAAAUUUUGGCAGAUAUUCAAGUUUUUCAUUAAACGCUUUUAUAUUGAUACAUGUAAACACUGGAUCUAAAAAGCUCCAGUAAAAAAAGAAUACAAUUAAAGAAAGAAAAAAAGUAACUCCUACAGGGCUCAAACCACUGACCCCUGAAGUAAAAGCCUCACACUAAGACCACUUGUCCGUCCAUGUUGAUACAAUGAGUGAUGUAUUUUACACUUUAUAUAAGCAAUCCUCAUCUUGCAUAUAAUGGAUAUUUUAGAGCAUGGUAAAUGUUCAGUAUUACUGUUUCCUCACAAAUAUCAUAACUACAACAAAUGUUUGCGAAUCUUAAACUUAUUUUUUUUAAUUUAGUCAAUUUACCCAAACUGGAAAAGGUCCCUUGAAUAUUGAACAGU